AGGCACCGUUGUGAGUGGACGUGUAUAUGUUGCGUCUAUAUAUUUAGCGCAUCCGUGUUGUACCAAUCUACAUCACUCAUUUAUAUGCGCUGUAAUAUUGUACGGGUUGUCUCCCCGGGAGUCGAGCCCUCUUCGUCAAAUGAAGAGGGUGUUUUAUGG